UACUUUUCCUGGUUUCUUGGUUUCACAG
rnacentral:piRNA from 1 species